GAUGAACGCUGGCGGCGUGCCUAAUACAUGCAAGUCGAGCGAACGGACGAGAAGCUUGCUUCUCUGAUGUUAGCGGCGGACGGGUGAGUAACACGUGGAUAACCUACCUAUAAGACUGGGAUAACUUCGGGAAACCGGAGCUAAUACCGGAUAAUAUUUUGAACCGCAUGGUUCAAAAGUGAAAGACGGUCUUGCUGUCACUUAUAGAUGGAUCCGCGCUGCAUUAGCUAGUUGGUAAGGUAACGGCUUACCAAGGCAACGAUGCAUAGCCGACCUGAGAGGGUGAUCGGCCACCCUGGAACUGGGACAGCGUCCAGACUCCUACGGGAGGCAGCAGUAGGGAAUCGUCCGCAAUGGGCGAAAGCCUGACGGAGCAACGCCGCGUGAGUGAUGAAGGUCUUCGGAUCGUAAAACCCUGUUAUUAGGGAAGAACAUAUGUGGAAGUAACUGUGCACAUCUUGACGGUACCUAAUCAGAAAGCCACGGCUAACUACGUG
rnacentral:rRNA from 1 species